ACCGGCGGCUCGAGUGGUGGCCACUAUUACUGGGCUUAAAGCGUUCGUAGCUGGCUUGUUAAGUCUCUGGGGAAAUCUUCCGGCUCAACCGGAAGGCGUCUCAGGGAUACUGGCAGGCUAGGGACCGGAAGAGGUGAGAGGUACUCCAGGGGUAGGAGUCAAAACGUGUACUCCGAGGGGGACCACCGAUGGCGAAGGCAUCUCACCAGGACGGCUCCGACAGUGAGGAACGAAAGUUAGGGGAGCAAACCG
rnacentral:rRNA from 1 species